CAUUCUUCAGUUCCUUGACCUUGAUUCUCAAAGAUAUUUACUCUAGAUACAAAGGUUUCUGGAGCAUUAUCACAGAACUAACACAGAGCUCUCUGCAGUUCUAAAAAGGGCACCAUGCUCCCUGCUUCUGUGGCUCUGCCCCUGUGUAUCUCUUCAUUUGCCUCCUCAAUCUUCCUUUGUUUCCAAGAAAGCUGGGUCUCAAAGGCUCAGGAACCUGGAGGAGGAGAGGUCAUAGGCCCAUCGAGCAGUCCUAUUUCCCUCUGUUCUGGUCUCUGAGUAUCUUACGGCCACACAAGCCACCACCCUCUUAACCCUUGGGAAGAGGUGAAGGCAAGGGAUCAGUGCACAGGAAAUAGCGAGUCUGUUGUCUGCAUUCGUCAAGGCUGGUGCCCAAAGGGCAGGCAUUUGCCGUGGGUUUGUCCAAUGCUCAGACAGUGGGUCAAUGUGUCUCAUACGGUAAUUGCUUAGGUAAAAGUAGCUCAGUUCUUAAAAAGAAAAGGCCUGUUUUUAGGAGGUGACAUGUCAUAGUGGAGACAGAAUAGGCUGUGGAAUCAUGUAUUCCUGGGUUCAAAUCCCAAUUUCAGUUCUAAAUAUUAUGUGAUCUGGUAACUUUUCUGAGUGUACGUGUGCCUACCGAGGGUGGUUUUGAGAACUGAGUAAGAGAGAUGCCUGACUCCUAGUCAGCUCUAAACCAGUGCCAGCUGCACCUUCGCCCCUUAGGGUCUACACCAGUGUAGAGAGCGCAGGAGCCCGUGGGUAUUUCUUCAGGUUCAUUUCCUCCUUCUCUUGCCUUUACUCACUUCGUUCCAGCCUCAAAUACCAAGACUCCUUGCGCUCAGGGUGUGGGUGCUGAUGCCCCUCCACCGGAGCCUUGCUGCUGCCGCGUCUCCUCAUGGCUCCAUUGCUCCGUCCAGGUCUGCUCAGACAUCGCCUCCUCACAGACCCGGUCACAGGUCAGGGUGUCGACAGCAGCCCCCCGCAUCUCCCCUCCUCCGCCUCGCCACUGUCCUUCACAGCCUAUGCCACCCUGAUGUCAUACCGUCUCCGCCAUGAGAUCACCAGCUUCACAAGAUAUACCAUAGUGAAAGUGCAGAACAUCAAAGACAGAGCAACUUUCUGAAGGAAAUCAAGAGUGAAGAACAAGACCCAUCACAGCUAAGAAUGCUCUGGGGGCAGCCAAGACGGCCGUGUGAGUGACCCAGGCCAACAAUGGAAGAAGUGAUGAAUACAGAUAUGAAGACAUUGCCCCUUGAACAGAGAAAAAGGAAAAAGCCUGAAAGUCUUUUCUAGUUUGUGAGAAAAGAUGAAGUGACAGGAAAAGGGUCUUGCUGUGAUAGAGUAUAUGUGCAGGAGAUUGCUUAUAAGGUGCUUCUUAAAAGCAAUCUUUGAAUAAAGUUCUCAGUUAUUUAUUAUGUGUAACAAACUACUCUAAGAUGUAGCAGCUUAAAACUAGCACCACUUACUCAUUCUGACUGUUCUGUGGGUUUACUGGAAGGGUCUUCUGUCCGUCUCACAGGGCUCUCAUGAGCAGCUGCAUUUGGUGGGCAGGUCUGCAAAGCCCAGGCUUGACUACAACAGCAGAAAAGCUUGGGUCUUUCUCUUCAUGGGGUCUCCAGUCUUCAAGGACACUGGUUCAUGCUUCUCCACAUGCCAACGGCAGUGUCCCAGAAGAGUGAAAGCAAAACCUGCAAGGCCUUUUAAGGACUAACCCUGAAUCUCACAGCAAUACUCCCUCUGCAUUCUUUUGGUCAAUGCAAGUCACGAGGCCAGCCCAGGUUGGAGAGGUGGGAAAACACUUGAUAGAAGCACCUGUAAAGUGACACAACAAGGAAAAGUGGACCCUGGGGGGCAUGAUUCACCAGGACCACUGUCAUAACAAUCCACCACAUGAAGCAAUCGUCAGAUCCUAGAAUAUUGGAGCUCACCAGGGCCAGAACAGGAACCUAGGGCUCUUGACUUCUCGGCCAAGCCUCUUCCCACUGAACCAGUUAUUCCAAGCAACCAGUCUCAGCUGCCAGGAGACACAAGCACAUCAUGGUGCUGAAUGUGGCUUCCAGCACCAACAUAUCCAAUGUGGAGCUCUGCCUUCUGCCCCGCAUGAGCCUGGAAUCUUCCCUCCUUUCAUCAAACUUUGCACACCAUUUUAAAUACAUUGUAGCCUCAACACAUUCUCCAUAAAUUUUAACAAGUUGCUGAGUAGUUUCUACAGUGAAAAUUUUGUCUUGUGCAGAGAAACUGAAAAACAGCAAACACUUUACCAGAAGAGGACACUUCUGGAGGGUAGCCCUUUUGAGAAUACAUGAAGCCACAGUGACAGCUGGUCCACUGUGCAGUGUCACCGCACAUGCCUCACUAAAGAUCAGAAUCCCAGGGAAGAUCCCCUGUGUCAUGUUUCAGAAACCCACAUUGUAAAUGGUCUUUUAAAAUGUGUACAUUUUGUAUAUUCUAAAUAUAUGAUAGGUAUUUUCUUCCCUGCAUCUUCCCUCAGCCCCUACCCUUACACUUACUUCAUCACUGUUGUUAAAAAGCAUUUCUAGAAAUUACUUAAUUUCACAUGGGCAGGACAAAGAGAGUCUUCUAGGCCUGGUCUCUUUCUCUAGGACAGUGGUUCUCAACUAGGGAUGGUUUUGCUCCCCCUCCCCCACAGGGGGCAUUUGUCAAUGUCUGCAGCGUUUUCUAUUAUCAUGCUGGGGAGGAGGUGCUAUGAGCAUCUCCUGGGGAGAGGCCAGCGAUGCUGCUGAACACCAAGCAGUGCACAGGUCAGCCUCCCAAACAAAGAAUUGUCUGGUGCAAUAUGUCCAUAGGGCCC